AAUAUCUUGAAAAAAUUUCUAGGGAGGCCUGCAGGAAUCUACAGGAAGCCCAUCCCCUAUUCUUAUGCCAAUGGUCUUCAAUCGAAGUGUUGUGAUGCGACUUCAAUCGGGGCAAGGAACGAUGCUGCUGCCUAACCAUCUAAAGUUGUUCCUGUACCAAGCAAUGGAUUUGCUCGUUAAUUUCCAGCACACAGCAUCUGGGACCAGAAUAGUACACCAACAGUGCUGUCCGAAUCUGCCAUCUCCACUAGCUGCAAGAAUUUUGGUAAGACAUAGUUCUAUUCGAAGUCCGUCAAGCAACCUGCCGGGAUCAAGAUGGGGAUGCUUCAUGCUGGAAUUGUAGGAAUCGAAGCUGAAGAUUUGAUACCAGCGGAAGGGUAGCUGACUGCCGGAUCGAGAGUUACCGGAAUAUUUUUACCGCUUCAAUGCUCCGAAUCAGUGUUAAGCACAAUAUGAUUUUGUCUGUGAUAUGAUAUUGAAGCCGGAGGCACCUUGCAGAAAAUGUAACUACGUAUGACUUAAUUGACUAAUAAUAAUACGAAAAUAACGACAGUGA